rnacentral:lncRNA from 10 species
CACAGCCCUUCUCAAGAGGUUUGCAAGAGCAGCCAUGCACUGCCCAGGCUGGAAGUAUGCUCAACCACAAGGAUCAGGGCUGGGAGAGGCGCUUCGGUAGCAAGAAGGUGCCUCUGAAAACCAGCAUUGGGAUGGAGAGGGCUGAAGGCAAGUGCUGGAUGUGACCAUGGGCAGCUUUCAGGCUGGGAGCACGGAUGCCAAGAACCCAAAACACCAAAAAAACUGGUGCUUAGAACCACAGGUCCAAGAACUGAAGGAAGAAAAUGAAACAAUUUAUUUUCAGUACUGUAAACACUGCUGCUAUUCUCUUAGAUGUUUUUCUUCCAUGAUAUACCCUGUAUUGGUUUGUAUAGAUUAGCACAUUAGGUUUCAGAAGUCAUUUUAAACUCCAUCUUCAUCCUCCAUAUUUGAAAUAUUUAAAAUCUACAGAUUUUCAGGUCAAAGUUGUAGAGAUAAGUAAGCUAGAAAACAAUAAUAGAAAACAUGAGAUGAUUGGUCUCAAAUUCCAAACAGGUGACUUGAGAUGUCCUAGAGAAAGCAGCUGGAGUCAUAGCACCUUUGUCUCUAACAGCCGAUACACUCAGAGGCUCAUGUGCUUCUGUGCGUCACCCCCAAUCGCCCUGACAGGUGCACAACUCAACAAAAUAUACUCAUUUAAAACAUCCAAAUAUGUUGACUGAGUGCCUGCUAUGUGGAAAACAUUUUCCUGGGAACUCUGGGGAAAGGAAACACUCAUUUUGAUAUAGAUUAUAAUCUGAAAUCCAUCACAGCUGAUAUUCCACACGAUGGUGUAGCAGACACUUUCCAAGGUCACCACCCAUCUCACAAAAGGAAAUUAAAUCUGAUUCACAGAGCAGACCACAAAGAGCAUGUCUGGACCUAGAACCACAGCAUGUAACCUCGGAAGCAGUGAGACACCAGCCAGCAUGGACAAGCAGCAGGCACUUGAUCUAUACCAGAUAGGUCCCACCUCCAGCCUUCCCCUGCUGCCAUCUAACAUCCUAAACUCCAGCUCUGAAUGUCUGUCUCCUGCUCU